UCCCUGGUGGCUCAGAUGGUAAAGCGUCUGCCUGCAAUGCAGGAGACCCAGGUUUCAUCCCUGGGUCGGGAA
rnacentral:tRNA from 1 species